rnacentral:rRNA from 1 species
UACGUAGGGUGCAAGCGUUAAUCGGAAUUACUGGGCGUAAAGCGUGCGCAGGCGGUUCUAUAAGACAGAUGUGAAAUCCCCGGGCUCAACCUGGGAACUGCAUUUGUGACUGUAGAGCUGGAGUACGGCAGAGGGGGAUGGAAUUCCGCGUGUAGCAGUGAAAUGCGUAGAUAUCCGGAGGAACACCAAAGGCGAAGGCAGUGUCCUGGGGAGUACCUGACGCUCAGGUGCGAAAGCCAGGGGAGCGAACGGG